GUUGCAAUGGCUUGCUUCACAGAGCAUGUCAAUGGAUACAACUCAGCUGAAAAGACCAGGAUGGUCAGGUGGGACCCUCUUCUAGUAUGUGAUCUACAGCGAGCUACACUGAAUCAUACGAUGACAAUGUUAUCACUGCCACAUCUCUGGGAACUUGUUAUUCAUAAUUAUAUGGACUGUCUACUUAAGAAGCUCAGAGUGAGUUAGAAACAUUGAUGAAGCCUCUAUUCUGUGAGGUGGAGGAGUGUGUGAACAGCCAUAUUCGCUGGAGUAGUGAACCAACUUGCCUUGACUGGAACCAUUAUUCACUUGCACCUUUGACAUCAGCAGCCAGGUAGGGGAAGAGAAGAAAAAUGUGUUUUGAAUGAACUGAGGUAGCAGGCCUGGAUGAAUAUUUUUUUCAU
rnacentral:lncRNA from 1 species